GAUGAACGCUGGCGGCGUGCUUAACACAUGCAAGUCGAACGAUGAAGCCCAGCUUGCUGGGUGGAUUAGUGGCGAACGGGUGAGUAACACGUGAGCAACCUGCCCCUGACUCUGGGAUAAGCGCUGGAAACGGUGUCUAAUACUGGAUAUGUCCCAUCACCGCAUGGUGUGUGGGUGGAAAGAUUUUUUCGGUUGGGGAUGGGCUCGCGGCCUAUCAGCUUGUUGGUGAGGUAAUGGCUCACCAAGGCGUCGACGGGUAGCCGGCCUGAGAGGGUGACCGGCCACACUGGGACUGAGACACGGCCCAGACUCCUACGGGAGGCAGCAGUGGGGAAUAUUGCACAAUGGGCGCAAGCCUGAUGCAGCAACGCCGCGUGAGGGAUGACGGCCU
rnacentral:rRNA from 1 species